rnacentral:rRNA from 1 species
UACGUAGGGCGCAAGCGUUGUCCGGAAUUAUUGGGCGUAAAGAGCUCGUAGGCGGUUUGUUACGUCUGGUGUGAAAACCUAGGGCUUAACCCUGGGCUUGCAGUGGAUACGGGCAGACUAGAGGUAGGUAGGGGAGAAUGGAAUUCCUGGUGUAGCGGUAAAAUGCGCAGAUAUCAGGAGGAACACCGGUGGCGAAGGCGGUUCUCUGGGCCUGACCUGACGCUGAGGAGCGAAAGCGUGGGGAGCGAACAGG